CCCCCCAGGUGUACCUGGAGCUGGGGUUCCCCCCAGGUGUGUCCCCAGGUGUACCCCAGCCCCAUUUCUCCCCCAGGUGUACCCCAGCCCCAUUUCUCCCCUCCCCAGGUGUACCUGGAGCUGGGGUUCCCCCCACAGUCCCAGCGCUGGAUCAUUGGGCAGAGCCUGUGCCGGGACGGGCGCAGCCUGAGCUCCUACGGCAUCCGGCACCACGGGGACCCGGCCUUCCUCUUCCUCCUGCCUGCAGCCCAGCCUGACCCCCACGGGCUGCUCAGGGCCCUGGGGAUGGAACAGGAGACACCUGGGACAGCCCAGCCUGACCCCCACGGGCUGCUGAGGGCCCUGGGGAUGGAACAGGAGACACCUGGGACAGGUAACCUUCAUCAUCAUCAUCCUCCUCAUCAUCCUUCUCCUUCCUCAUCCUCAUCAUCAUCCUGCUCCUUCCUCUUCCUCCUGCUCCUUCCUCUUCCUCCUGCCCGCGGCCACACCUGACCCACACGGGCUGCUGAGGGCCCUGGGGAUGGAACAGGAGACACCUGGGACAGCCCAGCCUGACCCCCACGGGCUGCUGAGAGCCCUGGGGAUGGAACAGGAGACACCUGGGACAGGUAACCUUCAUCAUCAUCAUCAUCAUCAUCAUCCUGCUCCUUCCUCAUCCUCAUCAUCAUCCUGCUCCUUCCUCAUCCUCCUGCUCCUUCCUCUUCCUCCUGCCCGCGGCCACACCUGACCCCCACG
rnacentral:lncRNA from 1 species